CCUGUUUCCACAGAACCUGUUAAAAAGCAGUUAGAAAAUGAGAGAUAGAUGAGACAAUUGUGAAAAUGCAAGAGGAAAGAGAGGAUAUUGGGAAAAGAAUUCCCCAGGGAGGAGAAGGCAGAAGGAACACAGAAGGCCGAGCCCAGAGGACUGUCGCGAGGUGAUUAUUCUGUCAGGGGAGAUCCAUCUGCUGCUCUGGCCAAUGUCAGCCAAGCAAAUACCCUGGCGUCCCUGCCCCCAUAUUCAUGGUGGAGACGCUAUGAACAUCAUCACAGUGAUGUUAGGAGGUCUGCAAUCCACAGGCUCACACGCUGCAAGGGCUCACAUGCUGCACCCUUUGGAUGAAAGAAGCUACAAAAGGAAGGCUGCCUCCUCCUUAUGCUGAGCUAUAACUAUCAAACUCCUGCCUUGGAACAGGAAUUUCUAACCGAGUACACUGAAGAGUGUACCUGAUUUGAGAAGGCAAAAUUCCAUGUUCACCAAACCCUUCCUCGGACCUGUUGCGACUCUGUUACUUUCCCCAAAUAUUUGGUGUCCAACCCAGGCUUUCUGUGUCCAUAGGAUGGAAGGAUUUUAGGAACCAAAUCAGGAAGGAUUAAGAAAACAGAAGCUUUGCAGAUUGUGUUACCUAACUGUUGUGAUAAAGCAGACUCUGAGACAUCCUCCUGGCAUUGGAGUCCUUGGGCUCAUCAUUCCCUGCCCUUGAGCCCUACUGAUGUCAUUCUGUAAAGAAAAAAUUACAAGAAAUUUAGUUUAAAGAUGUUCAUUCCCUAGGUGAAGUAAUCCCACCUAUAAUCCCAGCUACUUUUUGAGGCUGAGGCAGGUUCACAAGUUGGAAGCCAGUGUCGGCAACUCAUGGAGACUGUAUCAAUAAAGAGGGCUGGGGGUGUAGCUCAGUAACAGAGUGAUUGCCUCAUAUGCCUGUGCUUUCUUCAGCUGAGCACUCUGAUGGGAGCCAGCUGUUAUCUGGAGCUGUCCUGGGGAGAGGUCCACAGCAGUAGCAAAGAGCUGCUGUCUCCAGGCAAUAGCCACUGAGGACACUGGCCCCGCCAAUGAACAGUGACCUCGGACUCUGUCUUAGCCUGUUUGUUAUGCCAAAACAAAACAGUAAAACACAUUUCCUUCUCACAGCUCUGAAGGCUUAGUAGUCUAACGUCAAAGCGCUAGCAGAUUUGAUGUCUAAUGCGGGCCCAUUCCUCAUGGAUGCCACUUUCUAGCCAUGUCCUUACAUGGCAGAAGGGGCAAACAAGCUGCUUGAGGCCUCUUUUCUAAGGCCAGUGACUGCAUUCUUCAAGGCUUUGCCCUCAUGACACAAUCAUCUCCCAAAAGCUCCAACCUCCUAAUCCCAUCACCUUUGGAGGUCAGGAUUCAGCAUAUGAAUAUUAUAGAGAUACAAACAUUCAGACCAACUUUUUGCUAGCUGAGGCCCUGGCUGAUACACUGAUUGCAGCCUUGUGGGAGACCAAGAGCCAGAAGAUCAACCAAGUUGUACCUAGGUUCCUGACUCACAGAAACUAUGAGAAAAUAAAAAUGUUUGCAUGUGUUAUGAAGCAAUAAAUCACGAACACAGCUGGGAAAUUCAAACAUAGCUCAUCUGGCUCAGAACAUCAUGUUUUAGCCCUCCUGUUCUACUGCUCUCUGUGACUUGGGAUUGGUCCUUGGCUUCCCUCACAGAGGACGAUGUUCACUGCGCUUUCUCCUGCUCUGAAAUGGCCCAGGUAGCACCAAGACUCUAGUUCAGGGGUGAGGAAACUGUGGCACACGUGCAGUAGCAGACACGCAGAUCCCUCUGUCUCAGCAUGUGAGUCAAGUAGCCCCAGCCAAGGUUUGAUAAAUUAUCAGCAUGCACACAACAGCAAAAAUCACAUUCACUGUGCAAAAGCAUGCCCAAUGCAAACCUCUAUCUUUCAAUAAAAACCUGU